rnacentral:lncRNA from 1 species
AGGAAAGAUUAUCUCCUGCUAUGUUUGUAUAGUGUCAGCACAGUGGGAUGGGCAAAGGUCUUUUAUGAUAAACUAUGUAAUAAUAAACUUGGUAAUCCAGCUUUGAAAAUGGCAGUACCAGAGCCUUGGAUGGCAAGUUUGUUUACCACUUUUCUAUCUGAUGAAGCAAGGUGACUUUCAGUGGCAGGACAUUCAUAGUGUUACCCCUGAUUCUGGCUUUCUCACAUUAAGAAAAGGGUUUUACUAUGUCCCAUGAACUCUUAUCCAAAUAUUCUCCCUAGAAAUCAUCUUAGUGCAUGUUCAUAUAUUACGUAAAUAACACCUAAUUAUAAAUAAUGUAUAUAUAUAAUAUACAUUAAAUAAAGUUGUUGGAGCAAUUCUCUGAGUUAACAAAUUUCAUUCUUCUCUCCCUUUCGUUUUCCCAGGGCUUCUUUCUCCUUUGCUAUAGACCCUCUCCGCUGAAUGAAACAGUUGGCUGCUUUCUUCUGGUAGCUGAAGUGCUUCAGCUGGCAUCGAUUUUUUGCUCCUGUAUCCUACUAAUGUACAGCAUAGGAGCAGAGGACCUAGGAGACAAUCUGUGGCGCAGGGCAACACCUGCAGUUGCAAGCCUAACCAAAGGAACCCUGUAAAUGAAGCUUCUGAAGCUGGUUACAGCCUUUGGUUUGGUUGUAAAGAUCAGUCACUGGAUAUACUAACUACUGUGAGUCAUCUUAUCGGGUCUGUCAUCACUUCCUGGAAAAAGCCAGAGGCGCUCAGAAAGCACCGCUGAUGCUGUUUCUGUAGCUGUCAGUCUUCCUAAGAACUCUCUCUUGUGAGCCUGCAGCUCCUUAUUUUGUAAAUGAAACACACUUAUUAAAAACAUCUGUUACAGGCUUGUACCUUUGUAAGAAGUCCACGGCAAGCUACCUUGCUCUGGGAAAACACACACAAUCCACAUUUCUGUGUAUUGUGCCAUGUUAUUAAUGUGAUAACGUUAUCUUUCCUGAGAAGAAAACAUGCAAAAGUUCUGCUUUCAAGGGUACUGAUUUCCCUUUGGAAGUUGGUUAGUUAUUGCUACUUUGGCAACGCGUAGAACUAGACAGAAAUGUUUUGUUUCAGUAAAAUCAC